UACAGGGGGUGCAAACGUUGCUCGGAAUUAUUGGGCGUAAAGCGCGCGUAGGCGGCUACUUAAGUCGGAUGUGAAAGCCCUUGGCUCAACUGAGGAAGUGCACCCGAAACUGAGUGGCUUGAGUACUAAAGAGGGUCGCGGAAUUCCCGGUGUAGAGGUGAAAUUCGUAGAUAUCGGGAGGAACACCGGUGGCGAAGGCGGCGACCUGGGUAGAUACUGACGCUGAGGCGCGAAAGCCAGGGGA
rnacentral:rRNA from 1 species